AGGUGAUUGAUGCCAGGUGAGAGGGUGAAAGGGACCUAUACCCCCGUCAGCUGCAGGAAAGGAACAAAGAGACAGGUGAUUGAUGCCCGGUGAGAGGGUGAAAGGGACCUAUACCCCCGUCAGCUGCAGGAAAGGAACAAAGAGACAGGUGAUUGAUGCCCGGUGAGAAGGUGAAAGUGAGCUAUACCCCCGUCAGCUGCAGGAAAGGAACCAAGAGACAG